rnacentral:rRNA from 1 species
UAGUGAGUUUGAUCCUGGCUCAGAUUGAACGCUGGCGGCAUGCCUUACACAUGCAAGUCGAACGGUAACGCGGGGCAACCUGGCGACGAGUGGCGAACGGGUGAGUAAUGCAUCGGAACGUGCCCAGUAGUGGGGGAUAGCUCGGCGAAAGCCGGAUUGAUACCGCAUACGACCUACGGGUGAAAGCAGGGGAUCGCAAGACCUUGCGCUAUUGGAGCGGCCGAUGUCAGAUUAGCUAGUUGGUAGAAGGUAACGCUACGAGCGACGUAUCGUAGCUGGUCUGAGAGGGUCGAUCCCCCAGACCU